rnacentral:rRNA from 1 species
CCUACGGGUGGCAGCAGUGGGGAAUAUUGCGCAAUGGGCGAAAGCCUGACGCAGCGACGCCGCGUGAGGGAUGAAGGUCUUCGGAUCGUAAACCUCUGUCAGCAGGGAAGAACGGUCACUGUGCUAAUCAGCAGUGAAUUGACGGUACCUGCAAAGGAAGCACCGGCUAACUCCGUGCCAGCAGCCGCGGUAAUACGGAGGGUGCGAGCGUUAAUCGGAAUGAUUGGGUUUAAAGGGUGCGGAGGCGGGCCUUUAAGCCAGGGGUGAAAUCGCCGGGCCCAACGCGGGAGGUGCCUUCGAAACUGGGGACCUUGAGUGCGUCGGAGGCUUGCGGAAUGCGCGGUGUAGGGGUGAAAUGCGUAGAUAUCGCGCGGAACCCCGGUUGCGAAGGCGGCGUGCCG